GGAAAUCUUUUGUCUGGUUUUCAGUCGCAUGUCUCCUCUAAGCUACUAGCAUUCAAGUGAUUGGUCCCUUAUGGCAAAUCCCUUAAGCCGUGGGCUCUGUGUGCUGUAGAGAUUGCUGUUUCCCUUCUACCAUUUAUUCCAUUUCACCUCUGGCAGUCCCAACUGGAUAUAAGGGCCUUGUUUGGUUGAAGGAAAUUAAUUAGAUGUUCCAUAAUCCCUUGCUGCUCCUGUGAUCCUUGGACCAGCAGCAUUGACUUCACUGGGCAGAGCAUAAAAAUUUACCAAUUUUCUUGGUGUGAACACUCCCACCAUGGCUGAUUUCAAGCUAACAACAUGAUGUCGCUGAACGUAGAAUUGGGAAGAGAUGUGAACAAUCUGUUCCUGUAUGCCUGUGCAAGCUACUCCAGCACACCACUGUGUGGCUUGUCAAGCGGUGCCAUGUCCGCACCUGGGAUCCAAACCGGCGAACCCCGGGCCACUGAAGCGGAAUAUGCACACUUAACUGCUGCGCCACCGGGCCGGCCCCUAUUUGUUGUUCUUGAUCUUGAAGGAGAGAAGAACAUAUGGGUAAGAGGGCCCAUAGACUUGUUGAAGCAAGGAAAAC
rnacentral:lncRNA from 1 species